GUGAACGCUGGCGGUAGGCCUAACACAUGCAAGUCGAACGGCAGCACAGUAAGAGCUUGCUCUUACGGGUGGCGAGUGGCGGACGGGUGAGGAAUACAUCGGAAUCUACUUUUUCGUGGGGGAUAACGUAGGGAAACUUACGCUAAUACCGCAUACGACCUACGGGUGAAAGCAGGGGAUCUUCGGACCUUGCGCGAUUGAAUGAGCCGAUGUUGGAUUAGCUAGUUGGCGGGGUAAAGGCCCACCAAGGCGACGAUCCGUAGCUGGUCUGAGAGGAUGAUCAGCCACACUGGAACUGAGACACGGUCCAGACUCCUACGGGAGGCAGCAGUGGGGAAUAUUGGACAAUGGGCGCAAGCCUGAUCCAGCCAUACCGCGUGGGUGAAGAAGGCCUUCGGGUUGUAAAGCCCUUUUGUUGGGAAAGAAAAGCAGCAGGUUAAUACCCCGCUGUUCUGACGGUACCCAAAGAAUAAGCACCGGCUAACUUCGUG
rnacentral:rRNA from 1 species